AUUGAACGCUGGCGGCAGGCCUAACACAUGCAAGUCGAACGAGUGGCGGACGGGUGAGUAAUGUCUGGGAAACUGCCCGAUGGGGGGGGAUAACUACUGGAAACGGUAGCUAAUCCCGCAUACCAUCGGAUGUGCCCAGAUGGGAUUGGCUGGUAGGGGGGGUAACGGCUCACCUAGGCGACGAUCCCUAGCUGGUCUGGGAGGAUGACCAGCCACACGGGAACUGAGACACGGUCCAGACUCCUAAGGGAGGCAGCAGUGGGGAAUAUUGCACAAUGGGCGAAAGCCUGAUGCAGCAAUGCCGCGUGUAGGAAGAAGGUCUUCGGGUUGUAAAGUACUUUCAGUGGGGAGGCGUUACUCGCAGAAGAAGCACCGGCUAACUCCGUGCCAGCAGCCGCGGUAAUAC
rnacentral:rRNA from 1 species